GGGUCAGUAGGUUGGUCGUGCCACCGGUACGUACUGGUCUCACUGAUUCCUCCUUCCUGAAGAACCGUAAUGCCAUUAAUUUGGUGUUGCGGGGAAACAGGACUGUUACUUUGAAAAAAUUAGAGUGUUUAAAGCAAGCUAACGCUUGAAUACAUUAGCAUGGAAUAAUGAAAUAGGACGAUCGAUCCUAUUUUAUUGGUUUCUAGGAUUGACGUG
rnacentral:rRNA from 1 species